rnacentral:rRNA from 1 species
UCAACUUGUAGAAGGCUUGCUGCUUCGCUGACGAGUGGCGGACGGGUGAGUAAUGUCUGGGAAACUGCCUGAUGGAGGGGGAUAACUACUGGAAACGGUAGCUAAUACCGCAUAACGUCGCAAGACCAAAGAGGGGGACCUUCGGGCCUCUUGCCAUCGGAUGUGCCCAGAUGGGAUUAGCUAGUAGGUGGGGUAACGGCUCACCUAGGCGACGAUCCCUAGCUGGUCUGAGAGGAUGACCAGCCACACUGGAACUGAGACACGGUCCAGACUCCUACGGGAGGCAGCAGUGGGGAAUAUUGCACAAUGGGCGCAAGCCUGAU